GACGAACGCUGGCGGCGUGCUUAACACAUGCAAGUCGAACGGAAAGGCCUCUUUCGGGGGGUACUCGAGUGGCGAACGGGUGAGUAACACGUGAGUAACCUGCCCUUGACUUUGGGAUAACUUCAGGAAACUGGGGCUAAUACCGGAUAGGAGCUCCUGCUGCAUGGUGGGGGUUGGAAAGUUUCGGCGGUUGGGGAUGGACUCGCGGCUUAUCAGCUUGUUGGUGGGGUAGUGGCUUACCAAGGCUUUGACGGGUAGCCGGCCUGAGAGGGUGACCGGCCACAUUGGGACUGAGAUACGGCCCAGACGCCGACGGGAGGCAGCAGGGGGGAAUAUUGCACAAGGGGUGGAAGCCGGAUGCAGCAACGCCGUGGGCGGGAGGACGGCCUUCGGGUUGGAAACCGCUUUCGCUCAUGACGAAGCUUUGUGUGACGGUAGUGGGUAAAGAAGCACCGGCUAACUACGUG
rnacentral:rRNA from 1 species